AUUAACUCAAAAGAAAUUAAGGAAACAAUCCUAACUUAUUUGAAAUGAAUCAUAUCUGGGAAAUUCGGGUCAAUCAUUCAAGAGAUUUAUCGUUUACUGUUUUCUCUUCAAUUGUCCACUGUCUUCUGUGGAAACUCAGUUAUCAACAAUACUUGUUUCUUUUUCUAGCAUUUUCUACCAGUGGAUAUGAAAGCAAUGUUAUUUAACCUUCAUCUUAUUCCUGCAAAGUAACCACUCUGUUAUUAGUAGGAAUGCCUUACCCCAUAGGCAAACAAAAGCACAGAAAUUGUAAUGAUACUCAUCUAUGUCUGUGCAUAAGUGGAAGAGUGAAGAACUGGCCCCUCUCAGCAUGCAGCUUUUGCAGUUUCCUGCCUUUCUGCUUCAUUUCAAUUUUGAAAGAACUCAAAAAAUAAUCUUUUCACUGGAAAAAAAAAAAAAAAGUAGAGUUUUAUGUAGUAAAACUGAAAUACACUAUUUCAAAUAGUUUUUACGAUUUUCAUUUUAUUCGCCCCCCUUCUUUCCAAAUAAAUAGGGUUGAUUCUAAGGUAAAGACUCUGGAAGAUUAUUUAUGAAAUCCUUAAAAAUGUCUCUGCUUUGGGACUCUCCUUUCCUCAAAGUCGUACGCCCUAUGACAAGGCACCGCUGUACCUGCACACCCAAGUCCUAACACCGCCUCAGUGAUUAAUAGGACGCUGCCACACAGGAGACAGAAGCACGUUUUUAACAAAUUGCAACCCUGUCUUAGGACCAGAACUGCAUGACACUCAAAAGAAGUGGCAACUGCACCAAAACUUAUCACCUAUAUUUCUGUCCGCAGUGCCCUGAAAGUUAUUACGCAGCUGGAUGGAUGUCUCCAGUACUUGCUAUCAAACCAUCAUUCUUUCAAACCACCCAAAACUUAUAAAGUCAUCCCUUGACUGUUCUAAAUGCAUCAAGAUGCUUCCAUUCCACAGCUGUAAGACAGUUUUACCAGCACUAGUGCCUUAUCCCUCCAACGUUUUCAAAGCAGAGAAAUUGGGUAGAAAGAUUCGCUUUUUGUGCUAUCUUGUCUUUCUCACUGUUUUUUCUGUAGUGCCUCUCUUACCUACAUACACUUUCUGAAAGGCGUUCCUUCAUGUUCUCUUCCCUCCCACCACUUAUCUGUUAUAGUUUUUGCUCUCUUACUCUUUCCUCUUUUUCAUUCCAAUUCUUUGCUUUGAUCUUCCUGCAAGAGUAGCCCAGAUAUUGCGAUGGAUCCAUGUGAAUACCGGUUCAGAUUUAAAAUUCAUUUUAACCAAGAGAAAUCUCCCUAUUUCAGCUACAGACAAAAAUAGCAUAACAAGAACUGGAGUUUGGCCUAUUUGGUGUCUUCUUCCAAAGAACAGAUCACACAUUGGAAUUUGGCAAAUCUGUCCCAUAUGUUAUUAUUUUUUUUUUCCCUUUGCAGAGAUCCAGUCCUUCGGUAGGCUUUGUGCAUGUUUCCCCAUUUCUGCAUUAACCACAUCUCCUUUAAUUUUAACACACGGAGUCCCUUUUAAAUGUUUCAUAUUGUAGCAAUAUCGGUAUUUCUUUGAAGAUGAUACACAUUAGUUUUUUUACUUUCUUUGACAAGCUCUUCCUUGCCUAAAACCUGGAAUUAUUUUUUGAAGAAGUCCUUUUAUGCUCAGUUAAUUGGUCUAUCAUAUUUAUAUAUCAAGCAUUUAAUUCCUCAUUCUUGCUGUAUCAAAUAGACUGGGAAAACACAACAUUCCUCUAAAGCAUGCUACCACAAAGAUCAAGCCCACCUUCUUAGACUGAUUUAUGGGAUUUGCAAGACUACUCUCAGGUGGCUGAACCUUUAUUUCUCUUCCCAUCACUGCCUUUCCCAUUGAUGGAUGCACCUUCCGGGGAUCUGUGAAGUGACAAUGACUGUGCUGUAUAACUCUCCACAUCUUUGGAUCACAUUAUACUUCUAUUCCAUCAAGGUUUGCCAAACAAUGUAGAAAAACAACAACAGGUGGAAAUCUCUGAUUAAGCUAGGAACAGAGGCUGUUCUAGUGACAUAUGUGAAGAGCAGCUCCCAUAGCAUUCCCAGGAAGCACAGCUACUGAUAAAUGUUAAUUAGUUCAUUAGCAUCCGCAUUAGUAUCUGGCAGAGUUUGAUUAAGCUGCACAGACCACAAUGGGGAAGCCAGUCAAUAAGCUGUGGGGAUCUCAAUCCACUCUGUAGAAUUCUGCCAGCAGCAGAGCUUCAGAGGGUUCUACUCAGUGGCACCAACACAAGUUACAGUAACACCGCAGGAGUGAGAGGAAUAGAGGUUCUACCUCAUUACUAACCAGAGGAAACUUCACCAAGAGCACUAUUGGGAGUGUCCGUGGCCCUCCUCCAGCCUUUCCCUGACUUCUACUUAAACUAAAGCUUGAGGAAGGAGCCUGCAGCUCUGAGCAGUGAAGUGGAGGCAUAAUGCAUACAGAGCUGGCCCACGUCAGGGCUGGCAUGAGAAGAAUGUUGCAGGCACAAGAGAAAUAUGACCAUCCCGGUGUUCCGGUGUUUUCUGAUCCUGACAAUGUUGCAAGCUAUUCUACUGCCUUAGUAUCUGUAUAUCCUCCGGGACAGAUCUCUGUAUUCUAAUAA
ensembl:lncRNA